rnacentral:rRNA from 1 species
GGUUGCCGGGAGGUUUGUGCCGGGAUGUUUAGGAUAGGUGGGAGGCUUUGAAGCGUGGACGCCAGUCUGCGUGGAGCCGACCUUGAAAUACCACCCUUUAAUGUUUGAUGUUCUAACGUUGGCCCCUUACCGGGGUUGCGGACAGUGUCUGGUGGGUAGUUUGACUGGGGCGGUCUCCUCCCAAAGCGUAACGGAGGAGCACGAAG